rnacentral:rRNA from 1 species
GAUGAACGCUGGCGGCGUGCCUAACACAUGCAAGUCGAGCGAUCUCUUCGGAGAGAGCGGCGGACGGGUGAGUAACGCGUGGGUAACCGGCCCUGUACACACGGAUAACAUACCGAAAGGUAUACUAAUACGGGAUAACAUACGAAAGUCGCAUGGCUUUUGUAUCAAAGCUCCGGCGGUACAGGAUGGACCCGCGUCUGAUUAGCUAGUUGGUAAGGUAAUGGCUUACCAAGGCAACGAUCAGUAGCCGACCUGAGAGGGUGAUCGGCCACACUGGAACUGAGACACGGUCCAGACUCCUACGGGAGGCAGCAGUGGGGAAUAUUGCACAAUGGGCGAAAGCCUGAUGCAGCAACGCCGCGUGAGCGAUGAAGGCCUUCGGGUCGUAAAGCUCUGUCCUCAAGGAAGAUAAUGACGGUACUUGAGGAGGAAGCCCCGGCUAACUACGUGCCAGCAGCCGCGGUAAUACGUAGGGGGCUAGCGUUAUCCGGAAUUACUGGGCGUAAAGGGUGCGUAGGUGGUUUUUUAAGUCAGAAGUGAAAGGCUACGGCUCAACCGUAGUAAGCUUUUGAAACUAGAGAACUUGAGUGCAGGAGAGGAGAGUAGAAUUCCUAGUGUAGCGGUGAAAUGCGUAGAUAUUAGGAGGAAUACCAGUAGCGAAGGCGGCUCUCUGGACUGUAACUGACACUGAGGCACGAAAGCGUGGGGAGCAAACA